GACGAACCGUGCGAACGUUGUUCGGAUUCACUGGGCUUAAAGGGCGCGUAGGCGGGUGAUCAAGUCCGGGGUGAAAUCCUUCAGCUCAACUGGAGAAUAGCCUUGGAUACUGGUCGCCUCGAGGGAGGUAGGGGCGGGCGGAACUUCCGGUGGAGCGGUGAAAUGCGUUGAUAUUGGAAGGAACGCCGGAGGCGAAAGCGGUUCUCUGGGACGGUACUGACGCUGAGACGCGAAAGCGUGGGGAGCGAACAGG
rnacentral:rRNA from 1 species